CAGAUAGCUCAGUCGGUAGAGCAGAGGACUGAAAAUCCUCGUGUCGCUGGUUCGAUUCCGGCUCUGGG
rnacentral:tRNA from 31 species